rnacentral:tRNA from 1 species
CCUCCUGUAGCUCAGUGGUUAGAGCAAUGUUCUUAUAAAGCAUCGGUCGCGGUUUCGAUUACCGCCAGGAGGACCC